GAUGAAGAACGCAGCGAAAUGCGAUAAGUAAUGUGAAUUGCAGAAUUCAGUGAAUCAUCGAAUCUUUGAACGCACAUUGCGCCCGCCAGUAUUCUGGCGGGCAUGCCUGUUCGAGCGUCAUUUGAACCAUCAAGCCCCAGGCUUGUGUUGGGGACCUGCGGCUGCCGCAGGCCCUGAAAACCAGUGGCGGGCUCGCUGUCACACCGGGCGUAGUAGAUUUUAUCUCGCUCAGGGCGUGCUGCGGGUUCCGGCCGUUAAAAAGCCUUUUUUACCCAAGGUUGACCUCGGAUCAGGUAGGAAGACCCGCUGAACUUAAGCAUAUCAAUAAGCGGAGGA
rnacentral:misc_RNA from 1 species